rnacentral:rRNA from 1 species
GAGGAAAGAGUGAGGCAGGCCUAAUACAUGCAAGUCGGACGGGAUUCAGGAGCUUGCUUCUGAUGAGAGUGGCGCACGGGUGCGUAACACGUAUGUAACCUACCUUUAUCAGGGGGAUAGCCUCUCGAAAGAGAGAUUAAGCCCGCAUAAAAUCACAGCACAGCAUUGUGUAAUGAUCAAAUAUUUAUAGGAUAAAGAUGGGCAUGCGGAACAUUAGCUAGAUGGCGGGGUAACGGCCCACCAUGGCGACGAUGUUUAGGGGAUCUGAGAGGAUGGCCCCCCACACUGGUACUGAGACACGGACCAGACUCCUACGGGAGGCAGCAGUAAGGAAUAUUGGUCAAUGGGCGGAAGCCUGAACCAGCCAUGCCGCGUGCAGGAAGACGGCCCUACGGGUUGUAAACUGCUUUUAUACGGGAAUAAACCCAGAUACGUGUAUCUGGCUGAAUGUACUGUAAGAAUAAGGAUCGGCUAACUCCGUG